ensembl:lncRNA
CUUCAACUACUUGAAGGGUUGCUCCAAAGAGGAGGGAGCUAGGCUGUUCUCGAGGGUAACAGAGGACAGAACAAGGAGCAAUGAUUUCAAAUUACAGCUGGGGAGGUCAAGGUUGGAUAUUAGGAAAAACUUUCUCACUAGGAGGGUGGUGAAGCAUUGGAAUGGGCUAUCUAGGGAGGUGGUAGAAUCUUCAUCUUUGGAGAUUUUUAAGGCUCGGUUAGACAAAACUCUGGCUGGGAUAAUUUAGGGGGAGUGGUCCUGCUUUUUAGCAGGGGGUUGGACUAGAUGACCUCGUGAGGUCCCUUCCAACCCUUUUAUUCUAUGAUUCUAUGAUUCUAUGAGUCAGAAAGAGUAUGAGGAUCCACGGUCCAGAUCCUCAAAGGUACUUAAGUGUUACUUUGUUCACUAUCGUAACAGAGAAUUCCUUGGCACCCAGCUCUCCAGUGGGGUUCUCUACUCUGACUUAGAAGUCCAGGCUCCCCAUACAAUGCAUGGGAAGAGUUAGGUGCCCAAGGAAGAGAGUCCUGAAGCCAGUAAACUGAGAGGGAGCUGUCAAAGCUAGCCAGGAGUGAAAUGAGUAUAAGGUGGAUAGAAAGCUGACUAGAUCAUCGGGCUCAGUGGGUUGUGAUCAACGGCUUGAUGUUUAGGUGGCAGCUGGUAACAAGCGGAGAACAUUGGGGUCAGUACUGGGUUCAGUUUUCUUCCAUAUCUUCAUGAGUGAUUCAUUAGCGAGUUUGCAGAUGACAUAAAGCAGGGGGGAGUGGUAGAUAUGCUGGGCAGAGAUAGGAUACCGAGUGAGCUAGAAAAUUGGUGGAAUGGGCCAAGAAAAAUCAAGAGGUUUAACAAGGACCCGUGCAGGGUCUUGAACUUAGGAUGGAAGAAUCCCAUGCAUGGCUACACCCUGGGGACUGACUGGCCAGGCAGCUGUUCUGCAGAGAAGGACUCGGGGUUACAGUGUACAAGGGGCUGGAUAUCAGUCAGCAGUGUGUCCUUAUUGCUAAGAAAGCGAACGACAUAUUGGACUGUCCUCAGAUCAAGAGAAGUGAUUAUUCACCUCUAUUCAGCACUGGGAAGACUAUUUAAACUAAACAAUUGGUCCACAUUGCAUUGUGAGAGUCUAAGUACAUUUCCCAGACCUGAAGAGUCAUGUACCCCUCACUUGUGGUCACAUGGGCAUUGAGCACCAGCACCAGUCCAUAUCUGCCAGAAGAAGAUGAACAAUGAACCCUCCUGUCCCUGCUGCUUGUAGAGGAAAAGAAAUCCUGAUCAUUGUUGUCAUGUGGGUACAACACUGGUCAACCCAGUUCUGCUCUCUGGCUUCCCUUAAUGACGAGGUAACAUAUACAGUCUCCUGCUGCUCUUGAGAUAUUGUGGGUGGGUAAUCAGUGAAGAUGGUGAAUGUAGCAGCCACCCUUCAACCUACCUAAAUGGUAGAAACAAUGAAGCUCCUUUCUGGAAUGUGGUAGCUGAAAUAGCAACCUCCACCCAAAACAAAAGUACCUUCAACUUUUAAAAAUUUUCAAAAAUAAAGGAAAUUACAAAAUGAUAAAAGUUGUUUGCAACCCAAAAUCAAAAUAUUUCAUUUCCAAAAAAUGUCCAACAUUUUUUCUAUUGAAACAAUUUAGAGAAAACAUGAAUUCAGUAAAUAUUGUCGUGUAAUUAAAUCUGCAUUGUCCUGCUCCAUUCCUACUUGUGUUUAAUGGAAGUCUAGCACUUCUGCUGUCUCUUUGGACACAGGGAAUUUCACUCCCUGCCUGUGCUCUCUCUCUCUCACACACACACUCUCUCUAAUGGUAUUUUCUUUGUGUUCCAAGUAUGAUUCAUAAUUAAACAGAAGUAACUAGCAUUUAUUAAUUGUACUACAGUACCAGUGAACAGGCUCAGUUCUGACUGGGGCCCGUUGUGUUGGACACUACAUAAAACACAUAGACACUGUCCCUGUGCCAAAGAGUUUACAGUCUAAACAAGAUCAAACUAAGAAAAAGACAGACUACAGGUAAAAAGACGACCGGCAUUUUUUCUCCCAAAUACAUAUAUAACCACACACAUAUGAAGUACAGCUAGAGUAAUAGAAGGAUAUGCGUGAUGAUUAGGACUGGCCAAACCUAUGCCCUCUAAACUUUUUAUUGGAUUUUCACUAAACCAUUUUUCAUGAAAAGAAAAAUAUUUGCAUUAUGAAAAGAAUACCACUUCUUUCAUCUAAAAAUCAAAGCCAAAGCCAAAACUCUGAACUCUCCAAAAUAAAUGUUUUCAUUUGGAAAUUCUGCCAUGGUGCCCAGUGAGGUUUGUAGUUCAGGUGCUUCAUGUCCCCCAUUAUCCUCUAUGGGCCAAUCCUUAUAGCUGGACUUCAUCUCCCACCAAUACAUUGUGGCCAUGAGACUUUCCAUGGUACACCACCUUCCAUUAGUGGGCAUCAUGGGAAAUCUAAUCCUAUCAGUGAACAUGGCCCAUUAGGGAGACUGGGAGCAAGAGGCCUCCAAACUACAUAUCCCAUGAUGCACUAUGGUGACAGUUCAGAAUUGAAAUAUUUUCAUUUUUCAUUAAGAAAUUGAAAUUUCCUCUGGAAAAUUUCAACAAAAACAUUCCCCCCCCCCCUCAUUUUUAUAAUAGUUUUCCAUGGAAAAUAUUUUAAUGUGGUUAGGGAUAGGAUAGAUAGAAUUAAAUCCCACUUGAUCCCUCAAAUUAUGGCACAAACAGGAUUUGUCCUUGAUCUGGAUUCUGCAUACAGGUGAAAGCACAGAAACAUUUGUGAAUACUGUUUCCUGUUUUGUGAUCAGAUGCCAUAGGGAGGGAACUACAGGAUUUUUGGCCAUCAUUUCCGAGAGCUAUAGAACAUUGGAAGUGCCCAGAAUGUGCACGGUGGGGGUGGGGGUGGGGGUACACCAGAUAGCUUUUGUCCCUUCCCACCAGUAAGCGAACCAAAGGCCUUCACCACUUUUGGACAUCAAGAAAAACAAAAUUUCCAUUUGGCUCCCAAUUCAUCACAACCCCAGAUAAAAACAUUCAUUCACACAGUGCCCAGCUCUCUUUCCAUCAUCUGUGCUUCCUAACUAUUUCCUCCCCCCCCACUCAAAUACCAGUUCCCUCCCUCCUCUCUUUCCCCCUCCCUACAUACACCCCCCACCCCCAAUCUUCUUAUGUUCCUAAGCAUGUGGACUGAGAUUUUUCAAUGAAACCUAAGGUAGUUAGGUAGAAUGGGGCUAAUUACCAUUGCACUUCCCUGGCGUUUGAAUGCCUAUCACAGUUGCAUCUGGACACCUCCUAACCUUUCCUAUAUUUGUUCUCGCAGGCAGGGCAGAGCUAUUAUUGCAUUUUACAGAUGGAGGGAGGGAUUUUUUUCAAAAGCACUGGAGGAGGCUAACCGCUCAAGGGGGCCAAAAUCAUCCUGACAGAAUGAUUCUCUAUUGGAAGAAUCUGUUCUUUCACAAUAGGGUGUUAAUUCUGAUGAAAUUUAAUUUAGGGAACAUAAAAUGAGACUGGAACAUUCCCAUAAGGCUGAAAUGUUCCAUUUCCACUAUUUGGGGAGGAACCAUUUUGAUUUUCCAUUUGAGAAUGACUUUUUCUUCCAAUUUUUUAAAAAAAAAAAGUUAUUGCAGAAUACUAUAAAUAUAAUAUGAUAUAAAUGUGUGUGUAUGUAUUAUAUACCUAUGUAAAAUCUAAACCAGAAAAGGAUGACAUUUUGUUUCAUAGGAAAUUUGCCUUCCCUCCCUCAUUUUGAAUCUGAUUUUUUGGGGCCUCUGUAGGCACCCAAAUCUCUUUAAAAGCUGGCCUUCAAGCCCAUUUAAAUCAACAGUACCCAGAACAUCUUUGAUGAUCUGGGCCUAAGUGAUUUGUGGCAGAGCAAGAAAAUGAAUUCAUGCCUCCUGUCCUCCAGGCUGGUGCUCUGACCCCUGGGCUAUUCCUCCAGACUGAACUGUAGCACGCCACU